UGGGGAAUAUUGGACAAUGGGCGCAAGCCUGAUCCAGCCAUGCCGCGUGGGUGAUGAAGGCCCUAGGGUUGUAAAGCCCUUUCGGCGGGGAAGAUAAUGACGGUACCCGCAGAAGAAGCCCCGGCUAACUACGUGCCAGCAGCCGCGGUAAUACGUAGGGCGCAAGCGUUGUCCGGAAUUAUUGGGCGUAAAGAGCUCGUAGGCGGUUCGUCGCGUCGGCUGUGAAAUCCCGGAGCUCAACUCCGGGUCUGCAGUCGAUACGGGCGGACUUGAGUUCGGCAGGGGAGACUGGAAUUCCUGGUGUAGCGGUGAAAUGCGCAGAUAUCAGGAGGAACACCGGUGGCGAAGGCGGUCUCUGGGCCGAUACUGACGCUGAGGAGCGAAAGCGUGGGGAGCGAACAGGAUUAGAUACCC
rnacentral:rRNA from 1 species